CAUCUCGUCCUCUGUCGUCCCCUUCUUCUCCGGCCUCUCAGUCUUUUCUGAGUCAGUUCUUCGCAUCAGGUAGGAAGGGGGAAGGGGAAGGAGGGGGGAACUCUGCGGCCCCCAAGCGCCCCCUAACCUGUAUUUUCUCUACCGCCCUGGCUACUUCUGAGCCUGUUUUCUUUCUGCUAGGAAAAGGAUCUGAGGCUCGGGGAUUUCUCAGUCGCCAUCCACAUGAAACGACCCCUUUAAAAAAUAGUAUUUUUUCCCCCUCCCUAACCGCGUAGAAAUCGUCGUGGAAAUAUCACAACAAAAUCGUAUUUACACCCAUUCCGUCUGCGGAGGUUCUGGAGACUAGAAGAACCAGAGGAGGACGUUUGGAACCUGCAUCCCGCCAAAUCCUCACCCCCGCGCGCCUAGAAUUUGGCAUCGCCGAGCGCGCAUGCGAAUGCAGCGUGGCACCCUGAGGGAAGGACGCCCAGUCCAGCGCCUCUUGCAGGAUUGCAGCCUCUUCCUUUGGCGAAAGGAGAUCAAGCCAGUCAAUCCUAACGGAAAUCAGUCCUGAAUAUUCAUUGGAAGGACUG